UUCGCAAUGCCCGAAAGGGUGACGAAGCGACGCCGCGUGCGGGAAGAAGGCCUUCGGGUUGUAAACCGCUGUCGGGAGUUAAGAAAUGCAAGGAUGUUAAUAGCAUCUUUGCUUGACUAAGGCUCCGGAGGAAGCCACGGCUAACUCUGUGCCAGCAGCCGCGGUAAUACAGAGGCGGCAAGCGUUGUUCGGAAUUAUUGGGCGUAAAGAGCACGUAGGCGGCUAUGUAAGUCGGUUGUGAAAGCCUUCCGCUCAACGGGAGAACAGCAUCCGAUACUGCAUGGCUUGAGUGCGGGAGGGGAGAGUGGAACUUCUGGUGGAGCGGUGAAAUGCGUAGAUAUCAGAAGGAACGCCGGCGGCGAAAGCGGCUCUCUGGCCCAUAACUGACGCUGAGUGUGCGAAAGCUAGGGGAGCAAACGGGAUUAGGUACCCCGGUAGUCCUAGCCGUAAACGAUGGGCACUAAGUAGAGGGGUUUU
rnacentral:rRNA from 1 species